UAAGCUGACUCAAUUAGAGCCAGAAGAGCAGCGGUGAGAUUCAGAGAGGAGGAGAGGCUAAGGCUAAGACAGAAAAAAGAAAACUUUUUAGUAUGUUUUGGUUUUAUCUGGUGCUUUAUUUUCUUCCCCUUGCUGGUUCUGCAGCACACUAACAAGGAGGUGACAAGAGCCGUACUUCGGACAAAGGUCUCAGUCUUUACGCCCUGGGUUGGACUCUCCGGCCUCUCAUCCCUUGCUGUUUGCCAUCUUCCUCUUGUCCGUGUUUUGAGGCUGAAAUGCUGCAAAUGGUUUCAUUUUCAUGAUCCAACGACCACCCGUGAGGUACCGGAUGGACGGCAGAACAGCUGAUCCAUUCUCCUUCCUGCAUAUUUCCUGAAGACUUUUCAUACUGGCAUCCUUGUUCUAAUUCUGCUUCUACCCAAGUCUCAGUUAUCCUUACUCUUUUGGAUGGCAGCUGCCAACUUCACCUGAACUAUCUCGUCUAGAACUCACUGCCCUCAACUAUGUGGUCUUCGUACGUCAGAAGGUCAAUGAUAAGAAAAGUGCAAUAAAGUACCAAGACCAGCGUCUCCCUCCCCAGCCUUCAGCCACACUAACUGUCAUUUCCAAGAUCAGCAAUAAUUAUUCCAGAAGAGCCGCUAUCUUAGUCUUUUGUGCUGCUACAACAAAUUGCCUCCAAUUGGGUAACACAGAAAGAUCAGAAAUUUAUUUUUCACAUUCUGGAGGCUGAUCAUCGAAGGUGCUGACUGUUUAGUGUCUGAUGUGGAACCAUCUCUGACUCUGUUGCUUCAGCCUACAGAGAAGAGGAACACAAUUUCUUUACAUGCGGGAAGGUACAGAGGUAAAAACAAUGAACUCUUUAUGGAGAGCCCUUAAUUUCAUUCCUCAAUUAUCUCCCAACAGUCAUACCUGUGUUAAUAUUCUCAUCUUGUUUCAACAUGAAUUUUAGAGGGAACAAAAGCUGUCAAAUCAUAGCCCCAUGUGAGUCACCCUUGCAUAGACUAUUACCAAAAGCAUUGAAAGAGGUGGGAUAACAUGCAAAUUCCAGAAGUUUCUUAGAUGCUUUCUCACCACAACAAUCUGGUUCAAUGAAACAGAAACAAAACAGACAUCAGAAUACUCUGAACACAUUCAGGGCUUGGGUCAGGCCAAGUGCAAGAAGACAGAGCAGGUGAUCUAUACUCUGUCACGUAGACAAUCUCAGCAGCACAGGCAAUGCUAGAGGGCACUGUGAAUUAAAAGCCAUUUUCCAGCAUAUAUUCUUUAUUUCAAAUCCAUGCUUUCUGUGGUGGAAGAAAUCUUCCACACACUGCUCAGCUGGUCAGCUCUGAAACCCAUGAAAGGCCAAAGAUUACUCCCUGAUAACAGCAAUGGCUUUGUUCCUUGGUGAAAUUGCCACUGUGAAGAGGUACCGAUGUACACAUAGACUUGUUUAGUAAGAGUCCGUUAUCUCUAGUCUCUUUCAAAAUUGCUAGGAAGAAUCCACAGGCCUGGGUUUUUCUUGCUUUUCUUUAAGAUUUUUUUUUCCCCGAUUGUAUAACUGGGAGCAGUGUUCCACAUCUUAGGCCAAUCAUGUAGCUUUAGCAUCCAGGUUAGUUUCAUCUACGAAAUGCGAGGGAGCCUGAGGCAGGGCAUCUACCAGCAGAGCUCUAGAAUUUAAGAGUACGUAGAUCACUAAGGUCAUUUACUAGUGUGCUUAUUUCGCACAACCUCAGCUUUUCCAACUCAAAAAUCAGUGCUGAGAAUUGCUGCUAUGUUGGUCCUCCUCUCACUGAAAUCCUGAAAAUAUGUAAAAAAAGAAGCCCCCACCCUGCAAAAAAGUGAAAGCUGAAACAUGAAUUAAAAUAAAGUUUACAUCAGAUACAGGCUGAUAAAGUUUACAUUAGAUACAGGUACACCGUCAACAUGGAGCCAAACAAGUAAAUUUGGGGUGAUACUUCAUGAGUUUCACAUUAGAGGAGUCUAUAAAGCCUCUGACUAGGUCCCUUUUAUCUAUUUGCAAACUGGGGAGUUGUUAUUCAGCUUUCUGUAGCUGCAGUAAAAUUUAAGGAAAAAGAAGUUAAAGAAAGAAAAGUUUGUUUUUGACUCAUUUUUCAGAGGGGGCACUUCAUAAUCAUUUCGCUUCAUUGCUUCUGGUCCUGUAAUGAGGCAGCACAUCUGGACUCCCACCCUACUGGACGGUGCUAUAUUCACAGCAGUUCACCCACCGCAGUUUGCUGUCCCACAUGCCAAUCAUGUCUGGACACGCCCUGACAGACACAGCCGGAAGUGCACCUUAUUAAUUUCUAAGCAGUUCUCAAUCCAAUUAAGUUGACAAUCAAGAUAAACCAUCACAGGGAGGUUAAACCAAAAACCAAAACCAGGAGUCACAUUCAAAUAUCUACAGCUGAGGAGCAUACAGCUUAAAUGAAUGAAGCAUAAAUGUUAUAAGGAGAACAUUGCACAAUGGAGAAAAAAAUUAAAUAUCUAAUUUUUUUGUUUUUUUCUUUAUUUUAUUAAUUAAUUAAUUAAUUUAUUUAUUUUUUUGAACUGGGGAUCGAAUUCAGGACUGCUUGCAAGGCAGGUGCUUAUGCUGUUGAGCUAAAUCCCUGGUCUCAAUUUAUCUAAUAUUUUCGAAUUCAAUUGUUUAAAAAAAUUGGGGCUGGGGAUUUAGCUCAGUGGCAUAAGCGUCUGCCUUGUAAGCAGGUGGUCAUGAGUUUGAUCCCCGGUACCGAUAAAAAAUAAAGGUUAAAGAAAAAAUUACCUGCACCAAACUAAAGAAAAUUGAAUCAGCAACAUGAGCAACAUGCAACAUGAGCGUGUAGACUCUGUGGCCUAUAAUUUCUAAGAUCCCUUCCAACACAGUAUCUCUGUUCACAAUUUAUACCAAUAUUGCAGAACAGUAACAGGCUCUGGGACCUAAUCUGACUGCAGUCAUCGCUCUGAUUGUGUGUGUGUGUGUGUGUGUGUGUGUGUGUGUGUGUGUGUUUGUGACAACAAAUACGGAUGAGUUGGGGUGGGGAGGAGAGAAAUGAAAUUUUAAUAAAAGCAAGAGAAAUCCAACAAAAAAAGAAUCUCUAAAUUGGAAACUUCUAAUAACAGUAUUCAAAAGAGAUGGGGCACAUUCAGGGUGGUAUGGCCAUAGACUGGUGACGGUAUUACUUGCUAUGAUGAUGCUGUUUAGACAGACAAGAGAAAAACAUCCUAGGCUUCCUUGGUGACCAUAAGAAAACCAAGAAGUACAUUCACAUCAAUCAAUAUUAGGCACCACAUACAACAUGUUCUGAGAUGAUACACAAAUGGAGGUAAUAGUGUGGGAAUCCAGGAAAGCUCUGCAGAAGAAAUAAUCUUCAAAUGGAGCCUUAAAGAAUGAAUGAAUUUUUGACCACAGGCAGGCCAGGUAAGGGGUCCUAGGUGGAAUGAGAAACAUUAUACAAGUGCCAGGAAGAAGAAAGCACAAGAUACAUUGGGAAACACAAAUAGUUCAUUAUUUGGUGGGAGAGCCGAUAUCACCACUUGGAGAAAAUAUCAUGAGAUAAAAAUAUAAGCUGUGUGAGCUCAGACAAUUUACUUUAUUUUUCUGAAAAAUACUUUUCAGAAAAGUAAUAAUGUAUCUAUUUUACAGAAUUUCCAUGAGCUUUAAAAAUGCUACUGUAUAUGAUAGCAAGACUUCAAUAAGUUUACUUUUCUGAUUAGCACAAAUAGCUGAUGUAAUUUCAAUGCAAAAAAAACACCCUUUACUCUUGUCACACACACACACACACAUACACACACACACACACACACACACACACACACACACACACUGUCUUUAAUAUUGUCCAACAUUACUAAUUGGGUAGAGGACGUGGUGGUUCAUGACCCAGCCCUUCCAUUCAAGAUUGAGACCUUCAUUUCCCCAGCUGCUAGAUGCUUUGGCUGUUGAUAACUGUCUUUUGCAGGGAAAUCUAAGAAUUGCCCUCUGCCAAUGGCAAUCUGCUCGUAAAAGUCUAGACUCUCCAAGUCAAUCUGCAUGCAAUGAAGGGUUGAUGAAAAAGUACAAAUUCCCAGCCAUCUUGUUUCAAUUUAGAACAAUUCUGCAGGACCCUCUCAUGCUAAGAGCUCUUUGGAGGCCAGGCUGAGGCCACCGUUGUAUCUGCACCAUAGCUAAAGCACUCCUACCCAUUCCUGCUCCUUUCUCUCCCCUACUGGUGCUGGUCCCUGUGCUCUUCAACAAACUUCUUGAUCAAAUCUCUAGCUCAAUAUGCAUUUCCAAGUAACCCUACCCAAAGCAGUUAUAUUCUGUUAAUUUGCUGCAACAUAAGAACCUCAAUGAUUCACCUUAAAAUUUAUUGACCAGGGCCUAAGGCACAACUACCUUGCCCUGGGCAGAAUCCUACUCUAGAGUAGUGCUUGUGGUGGCCUCAGGGUACUCUAAGUAGUAUUUCUACUAAAGAACUGACAUAGAGGGCAUAUACUCCUUGCCUUGGAGAUUUGAACAAAAAACAAGAUUUGACCAUUCCAUGCCCUCCAAUCUAUAAGAUGCCACCAAACAAAGGCAGAAGAAAACAGUUUUUGUAACACAGAUCACUAAGCAUUUCCUACUCCCUCAGCAUUGUAAGGAGGGAUUUCCUGUACUGAACCUUGUCUUCAUUAGCAUGAAUGCAUACCCCAAAGUAGCUCAACAGAGCAGUAAACCUCAGUGAAAGCACUAGAAUCAAUUGCAUGAAAAUGUUCUUCCACAGGAACUGGGAGGUCACAAUUGGAAGAUGUGGUCUUCUAAUAUAUUAGUAACAGAAAGUGAGAAAGCCUGGAGGAGCAUUUGUUUCCUUCUAGGUGAGAGGCCAGUUAAAGGCUUAGAAAUCUAAUCAGGAGCCCAGGCUGUCUGCUUCAGAGUCCUGGUACCUGGACAUGCUUGGGCUCUUUCUUUGGUGGAAAAGGGCUGGCUGAUGUUAGCCUCACCUUUCCCUACCCCACCGCUAAACAGAAUUAAGAAUGGAUGCUUAAUGCUAGUACACCCAAAACUCAUUUGUGCUGAAAAACUAAAGCUGUAUUUGGCAAGGCUUCUUGAUUUUGCAAACAGAAAAAGACACAUUUACAGGAGUGAGAAUGACUUUCUCACUUACUUUAAAGCACUUUACACUUUGUUGAGAAGUCAGAAGAGAACUUCACUGAAAAUCCGCUAAAACAAUUACUGGGUUAUUAGCAUAGACUUGUAAGAGUUAGCUUUCAAGCUCCCACAAUAAAGAAAGCUCUUUAAUAGACCCUCAGUCCCCCUCAUAAACCUCAGGCAUAAGAAAUUUUAGCAAAAAAUAUCCAAAAGAGACCAAAAGGCAUUCAAAAAAUCACUCAUUAAAAAAUUAUCUUCAUUUCUUAUAGAAGAAAUCAGUAGAAUAGUGGUUACUAGAGAGUAGAACAAGAGGAGAAAUAGUAGAGACAGGGUAACAGAGACCCAAAAUACAGUCACAAAGAAAAGAUAACUGUUUUCUUUCACAACACAGCAAUCAGACUAGAAUUUAGAGUGAUGUCUUAUGUAUUUUAUAAAGUACCACAGGAGAGGAGUUCAAAACCUCCCAACAUAAUGAUAAAUGUUUGAAAAGGUGAAAAUUCUAAUCACUCUGAUUAAACAUUGCAACCACUGACUAAGAGUAUGUUACAGGGGGAGAACAUGGCAGAUAGAUAACAGCAGCUACGGAGGCUCUCUGAGAUAGCCAGCUUAGAUUCCUUCCAGGAAUAGUGUGGUGUGGGGAGUCCUAAACAGGGAAAGAUACAGCCUGCCAACCCAGGAACAAACUAAGCUGAGAGAAACCAACUGGGAAUGCAAUCCCGACUGGAACAGCUGAAGUCUCAGUGCUAAAGCUGGAACCCGUACCUCUGGAAACUGCGGCUUGAAUUUCCUGCCACCACUGCUGCAUCUGAAUUGGCACAGCAGGGAUAGAGACAUGAAAGCUCUGAGAGUGGGAAUCAGCAAACUGAAUUGAGAGCAGAGCUGGUGAGGAGUCGUGCAUCGACCUGUGGUGAGUGAGAGGAACGGGGACACUUCCAUAGACUAGGAAGCUCCAACAGAGACGUUCUGGGACCUGGCAGACUAGCCAGAACAGGAAUUCCCCUCUCAAGCGGGAUUGGUGGAGAGUGCUUGAUCUGGGUGACACCACGGACUAAGAUGCAGUAGGCUAGCCCAAACCAGGUCCCUGCGCCUAGCAGUGCACCCUAAUGCAGUGAAGCCUUCAGCAGGUUGACUGACCUGAAGGGAUGGGCCCAGCAUAGGCUCCCCAGGUCUGUGUCUCCCUAGUACAUUGCAGUGGGCGGGAACACCUACCCAUCGUGAUUCAAACAAACUGUAACCGACAAAGAAAGAAACUGGGCCUCCUAUAUACGCUUGUAUGGAAGGAACAAAACGUAUGGGAAGAGGGAGCAACAAGAAAGGGUCCUCAGUCACCAAUCCUGAGAACACUGAUCCAGGAAAGGUAAAUGCAAAGGAGAAUGAGGACAGAAAACAUGCACUAUCAGGCACGGCACCAAUAGACAUAAAGCAAUAUCUCCAGGACCUCAUAGAUGAGUUCAAAAGUGAAGUAUUUAACCAAGUAAAGCAAGAUAUAAGUAGAAUAGUUAAAGAAAUGCUAAGCACCUCCCAAGAAAACACAAAUGGUGGAAUGGAAGAACAGAAAAAAAGGAAUUGUUUGAUGGAGAAAAUAGAGAAAAUGUAGAAUACAUGAAGCAGGUUCAAAGAGAUUACCAGGAAACUAAAAAUUCUAUUGAAAGCUGGCAUAACAGCUUGAAAGAAACUAAGGAUAGAUUAUCUGAACUGAAGGACAGAUUUGUAAUGUGGGAUCAUAAAAGGAAAAACUUCUUAAAAAUAACAAGGAAACAAGCAGUAACAAUACAAAGGCUAGAAGAUGAUAAGAGGAUCUAUAACUUAAGAAUUAAGAAUGUAAAGGAAGAAGCAGGGAUACAAACAAAUGAACUGCAAAGGCUAUUCACAGAAAUAAUCAAGGAGAACUCCCCAAAUAUGGGAAAAGGUAAAGAUACUCCAAUCUAUGAGGCAUACAGGACCCCAGCCACCUACAACCCAAACAGAACUACACCCAGCCAUAUAAUAAUCAAAAUUCCAGAAAUUCAAUAUAAGAACAGAAUAUUAAAAGCUGUCAGAGAUAAGAAACAGAUCACUUACAAGGGAACACCCAUCAGAAUUACAGCAGACUUCUCGGCACAAACCAUCAAAUCACAAAGAGUGUGGGGUGAAAUAAUUCAAGCUUUGAAAAACAAAAACCUCCAGCCAAGAUCGAUAUGUCCUGCACAACUGUCCCUAGAAAUUAAUGGAGAAACAAGGUGCUUCCAGGAUAAAAAGGAACUAGGGGAAUUUGCAACCACCAAUUCAACUCUACAGAGAAUACUGCAGGACGUUCUAAAAGAGAAAAAUAGCAAGAUUCCAGAAACAGUAGCAGAGAGGCCACAAUGAGUGGAGCACAAAGUGAAAUGAGGCAGACAAACUGACAACUAAUGACCGAAAAAGAGCUCAACAGAAAUGAGGCAGGUUGGAUGGUAGGAACAGCUAUUUUGGAGAAAACAAGACAUCAUAAUAGCUAGUGCUGAUUUAAUAUCAUCUUGUUUUGAAGUCCCAUCAGGCUUUAUUCUUCUCUCUCCAUCGGUCUUAACAUGUUGUAUCUUAUUGGAUUUUGUUAUAUGUAAUAAUAUAAACAAAAACUUUUAUAGACAAGGAGAUAAUACAGAAACCAUUGUUCAUUUUAUGUUAGUUGGUUCUAAAUACCCUGUAAUACUGUCAUUCUCUUGAAUGGAUUUACAUUGUCUUGAUAUGUUUGAUGCUACAGUAUACGAAGUUAUACUCAAAGAUUUCAAGGAAAGAGACACUAUGGUAAUUACUUUUAUGUCAGGAUAUCUUGUGGUGAAAUACUAUUUUGCUUAAAUAAUUAUGUUCUGACCUGUGCUGUUUUGUUAUGUCCUCUUUUAUCUCAAUCUCCUUUUUUAUUAUUUAUUUUUUAUUUUUGUCUUUUUAAUUAAGGGAAAAAAUAAAUUUAAAAAAUAGCAGUAUAUAUUAUAGUAACCCACUUGAUUUCCUAUUAAUUUGAUUUGAAACCCAGUAUUGCUCUCACCAUCUUGUUUUGACUGAUUUUACUGUAUUCUGUUUUGCUUGAUAGUACCAAGUUUGAGAGUAUAGGCAACGAAUGUGAAGAGAAUAAGAUUCAGUAUGAUGCCAAUUCUGAUUUGACUAUUAUCUUCUUUUGAACUCCUGUAAUGUCUCCAGUGUUUUGGUUUUAUUCUUUACUGUUUUCUUCAAUUUUAUUAUAACUGAUGAUAUAGGCAAUUCUUUUUAAGAUAGCAAGAGGCAUUAUGGUAACCAUUGUUGAUUACCUUGUAUUCUAUUUAUACAUUAUGUACUAUGUCCAUCCUUUUGAUUUGACUAACUCUGUUUUGUUAUGUCACAUUUGGUUUUAUUUUCUUCAAAAAAAGUAAUAAGAACUGUGGGAAUAAUAAAACCCAAAAUGUGUAAUUGUCAUUGUAAAAAAGAGAGGAAAAGAAAGUGCUCUAAAGGAUAUAACUACAUGUAUAUUUAAGCAUAUAAGAUAGAUAACCAUAUUACUGAGGGUUUUUUUUUUUUUGGAUCAUUGAACAGAACUGUUUGCAGUCUCACUGUCUGAAUAUCUACUUUAUGUGCUUUAAUUUUGUAACUUGAACAACUACUUCUAAGAUGACAAUAGGUAAUCUAUUAACUAGUGAUUUCCUACUGUUUAUUUUUUUUUGAAAUUCUGUAUAACUUGUACCCUUUUUCUGUUUUUUUCUUUUUCUCCUUAAAUAAAAUUUUUAAAAAAGAGUA